rnacentral:lncRNA from 1 species
GAUAACUAGACUAGUCCUAAUUCCUAAAGCUGUUCUAAAACACUUAAACAAUUGAAAUCACUUUGUCUCUUCUCCAAAAGCAAGAAACUCUAUCGUUUCCAUUCCAAAACCCCCAAAUUAGAUCAAACCAAAUUAUCUCAAACUCUAUCAACUCUCUUUUGCUCUCAUCGGUAAGGCUCUUCCCUUUCUCAUUUUACAUGUUUUCUUUUAGCUGCAUACAUACGCCUUACUUUUUCCCAAUUAAUUAAAUUUUUUUUUCUGAUUAGCGAGUUUUUUUAAGUAGAUACCUUUAUUGUGAUGAGAUUUUGGUCAUGAAAGACAAAAAGUUGUCUAUCACCUUCGUGGGGCCUAAAAUAUUUAAUUAUUUAUAAAUAUUUCAGGUAUUGCAAAAAUUAUCCUAAUGGAAAGGAUAAAACUGCAACAUAUCUCCCAAAGACUGGAAGUGAGGUCAUUAUGCCUUUACAAGUAUUUUGGAAAUAUGCUCCUCUGGUUGUAAUGUCUACUAAGAUGCCCAAUUUCUUAGAGUUUAAUAUAUUCUCUUUUUGUUUAUUUUUUAGGACUCUUGGGUGUAAUGUCUACUCUUAAAAAGUUGAUGAUAAUUCUUAUGUAGAGUGCAAUAUGAUAUGCAGUUUAUAUUUUUGGUAUUUUUUCGUUGGAAGAAGAAAUAUUAGUUGGAAAGCUCAAUUAUCUUUGGAAAAGGAGGGAUGAUUGAUUAAAGUUUCUAUUAGAACUGAAAUUGAAACCAUACAACUUAUUGACUAACAUAGUUGAGGUAAAUGCUAAAAAAUAAAAACAUGGUUGUUAUU